rnacentral:misc_RNA from 1 species
GAUGAAGAACGUAGCGAAAUGCGAUACUUGGUGUGAAUUGCAGAAUCCCGUGAACCAUCGAGUCUUUGAACGCAAGUUGCGCCCGAAGCCACUAGGCCGAGGGCACGCCUGCCUGGGCGUCACACGCCGUUGCCCCCCCAUCUACUCCUUCGGGAUUGCGGGGGGGCGGAUGAUGGCCUCCUGUGCGCCUAGCCGCGCGGUUGGCAUAAAUACCAAGUCCUCGGCGACGCACGCAACGACAAUCGGUGGUUGCGAAACCUCGGUUGCCCGUCGUGUGCGUUCGUCGCGCAUCGAGGGCUCGAAAAAAUGCUCGGCUCCGGCUGGGCUUUCAACGCGACCCCAGGUCAGGCGGGGUUACCCGCUGAAUUUAAGCAUAUCAAUAAGCGGAGGA